UACGGAGGGUGCGAGCGUUGUUCGGAAUCACUGGGCGUAAAGCGCGUGUAGGCGGUCCUAUAAGUCUGGUGUGAAAGCCCGGGGCUCACCCCCGGAAGUGCACUGGAUACUGUAGAACUCGAGUCCCGGAGAGGAAAGUGGAAUUCCUGGUGUAGCGGUGAAAUGCGUAGAUAUCAGGAGGAACACCGGUGGCGAAGGCGGCUUUCUGGACGGUGACUGACGCUGAGACGCGAAAGCGUGGGGAGCAAACAGG
rnacentral:rRNA from 1 species